UGCAGUGUACCAGGAUGGAGACAGAGU
rnacentral:piRNA from 1 species